UUUUUCGGAGAUAUCGCCGAUGUGUAAUUGAAUACGCCCGACUUCACGCCGAACUAACUAUCCCCACCAAUGCGAAAUUUGAAGGUGAAACGCGGCGCGGGGUGUUAUUCGGCAGUCAGGAAUCGAAGAUUAUGGUGUCAAGACGUAUUAAUCUGUGCAUGGCUCGUUAACUGCGUAAUAUUCCUAUUGCUAUUUUGCCUAUUUUAUACAUAACUACAAUUAACAACUAUUAGAUUAUUGGUUAAUGGCGGUACAAACAUCGAUGCAAUAGGAAUUCAAAAUAUGGGCGCCAUGAUGAUUAGCAGUCUUUUCGAUGGCUUUUCAUUGGUGUUUCGGCAAUGUUUGGGAUCGCGUGCAAUGCGGUUGAUAGAGUCGGUGUAUGCUGCGUAAUAGUGUUUUCAAUAUUCUGCAAAGUGUUUUUUAAGCUUUUAUUAAAACUUAUCUACGUAAUUAUAGUAGUCAUACGCGGAAUUAGAGUCAGUGCUUGUUCAUCGAAUCACUUAAACGAGCGCGUUACUAGUAUUUUAUUUUUCUCUUUUUACGUAUACGUACAUUUUUUUUUAAAUAUCUGUUUUCGGUAUUAGAGUCAGUGCUCAAGAGGAUUCAGUCUGUCCAGGAGUUCAAGAAUGUUUCUCAUAACCUCCACUUUCUCCUGUUCUCUGGAGAGGAUUCAAUGAUGCUUCAGAAGCCAGGAAUGUAAGUACAUAUUUUCAUAGCAUAUUUAUUAGAACUUG